rnacentral:tRNA from 2 species
CUGGGGUAGAAGGAUUCGAACCUACGAAUGUCGGGACCAAAACCCGAUGUCUUACCACUUGACGAUACCCCA